GAAGGAGCUAAUACCGGAUGAUAUUUUGAACCGCAUGGUUCAAAAGUGAAAGACGGUCUUGCUGUCACUUAUAGAUGGAUCCGCGCUGCAUUAGCUAGUUGGUAAGGUAACGGCUUACCAAGGCAACGAUGCAUAGCCGACCUGAGAGGGUGAUCGGCCACACUGGAACUGAGACACGGUCCAG
rnacentral:rRNA from 1 species